CCCGGUGCUACAUAGAGAGGGGGAAACACCCGUUCCCAUUCCGAAUACGGCAGUUAAGCCCCUCAUCGCCAAUGGUACUACGCUGGUAACGGCGCGGGAGAGUAGGUCAGUGCCGGGU
rnacentral:rRNA from 1 species